GUCAGAUUUGUGCAGAUGCUUCUAUCUGACUCAUCAGUGCAGAUAGGAGAUGGUUCUGAGUUGAGCAAUGAUAUCUUGGAGAAGUCCAAAGCAAGCGAAGAUUCAUGGAGCCAAGUUAUUGAAUCUCUUUUAUUUGGCACUUCAACAUCAACCGUAACCAUUGAUUGGCUUCUACAAGAGCUUUUGAAAAACAAGUUGCAACAGUGGCUUUCAUCCAAAUUGCAAGUAAAAAAUAACGAAAUGGUUUAUUCCUUGUCCAGGAAAGAUCAAGGAAUAGUGCACAUGAUUGCUGGCCUGGGGUUUGAGUGGGCUUUGCACCCAGUUUUAAAUGCUGGAGUAAGUGCUAACUUCCGUGAUAUUCGUGGCUGGACUGCCCUGCACUGGGCUGCACGCUUUGGAAGGGAAAAAAUGGUUGCAUCACUCAUAGCAUCUGGUGCAUUUGCUGGAGCUGUUACUGAUCCGUCAUCACAAGAUCCGUUUGGGAAAACUGCUGCAUCAAUUGCUUCUAGCUGCGGUCACAAGGGAGUUGCAGGCUAUCUUUCAGAGGUGGCUCUCACCAGCCAUUUGACGUCCCUCACAUUAGAGGAAUGUGACGUCUCAAAGGGGACUGCUGAUAUUGAAGCAGAACAAACUAUCAGUAAUAUAACAACCACGAGUCCUGUCACACACGAGGAUCAACUUUCUCUAAAGGACACUUUAGAUGCAGUCCGCAAUGCAGCUCAGGCUGCUGCUCGCAUACAAUCUGCAUUCCGAGCACAUUCAUUCAGGAAGAGACGACUGAGAGAAGCUGCGCAUGUUGCUACCACUUGCAGAGAUGAAUAUUGUAUCCUCUCAAACGAUGUUCUUGGGCUUUCAGCUGCCUCAAAGUUGGCAUUCCGUAAUGUGCGGGACUAUAACUCAGCAGCAUUAUCUAUUCAGAGGAAAUAUCGGGGAUGGAAAGGCCGGAAAGACUUCCUAGUAUUUCGUCAGAAAGUAGUGAAGAUACAGGCUCAUGUACGAGGAUAUCAGGUUAGAAAGGAAUACAAGGUAUGUUGGGCUGUGGGUAUUUUAGAGAAGGUGGUGCUAAGGUGGCGUCGACGGGGUGUUGGUCUUCGGGGAUUCCGACUAGAAGAUGAACCCAUCGAGGAAAGUGAGAAUGAAGACAUUCUCAAGUUGUUCCGCAAACAGAAAGUGGAUGCUGCUAUUAAUGAGGCUGUCUCUAGAGUGCUAUCGAUGGUUGACUCUCCAGAAGCACGCCAGCAAUAUCGUCGCAUUCUUGAAAAGUAUCGGCAAGCUAAGGCUGAGGUUGCAGGAGCGAAGAGUGAUGCAAUAUCCACUGCACACAGUGACAUCUCCAAUGUGGAAAACAAUGAUGUAUAUCAUUCAUAGAGAUUCUAAUGUGAUUCUCUUCGCUUGUGAAUGUAUUUAUGUUGUUAUGAGUGAUGUAUUUUGUAGGUGCUUGUUAUAAUUUGUAUUAAGGUAGAAAAUUGAAACAACCUUAUUCUUCAUUUAGAGCAUGCACGCAGAUGACUUUGAAA
rnacentral:misc_RNA from 1 species